UCCAGGACUAAUUACUCCAAAGGCACCAGAUCCCAUCUGAACUUAGAAGCUAAGCAGGAUCGAGCCUAGUUAGUAUUUGGAUGGUAGCCAGCCAAUGGAUAUCAGGUGUUACAGGCU
rnacentral:rRNA from 1 species